rnacentral:lncRNA from 1 species
CACACACACACACACAUACAGGUAUGUAGAUCAACCAAUCAGAUUGCUUCUAAGCGGUCGGUCGGUCGACCUGUUAGAAAGAGCAGCCAAACACCCUUGUAAUCCCAAACUUCUUAACUAACAUCUGGAUAUAAAAAAUAACAGCAUUGGACAAUGUUAGUGGAAGUUAUAUACUUUAAGAUGGGGUGGUCAAGGCCGGAACAGAUUUAACCAUAGGACUUUCGGAUCUGGACUAACAACGGCGUAUAUUUACUGAGAAAGUAAGUUCGAUAUUUUUGUUAUUGUGGUUGCGGCGGUGGCGCGGGGUUUUGCUUUUGAUGGCGGGGCCUCUCUUUACACGGUUAGGACACUUUGGCAAGAAUACAGCGUGUCAGAUCGAUACACACACACACCUGUAUAUAUGCGUGUGUGUGUGUGUAAGGCCAGGUACUUAUUCUAUCGGUGUCUACUUUGCCGAACCGGUAAGUCACGGGGGGGACAUAAACGCACCUGCUAGAGAGUGGGAGGAAAAACACAAACACACAUGCCUAUAAAUCUAUCUAUCUAUCCGCUCGUUCCGAGUUCAAAUUCCGCCGAGGUCGACUUUGCCUUUCAUCCUUUCGGGGUCGAUAAAUAAAGUACCAGUUUCGCACUGGGUCGAUAUAAUCGACUUAAUCCCUUUGUCUGUCCUUGUUUGUCCCCUCUAUGUUUAGCCCCUUGUGGGCAAUAAAGAAAUAUAUAUAUAUAUAUAUAUAUAUAUAUAUAUAUAUAUCUGCAUGUUCUGAGUUCAAAUUCCGCCGAGGUCGACUCUGCCUUUCAUCCUUUCGGGGUCGAUAAAUAAAGUACCGGCUUCCCACUGGGGUCGAUGUAAUCGGCUUAAUCCCUUUGUCUGUCCAUGUUUCUCCCCUCUAUGUUUAGCCCCUUGUGGGCAGUAAAGAAAUAUAUAUAUAUCCGCUCAGUCGAAGUCGACCCUCGGUUACUCGUUGGAUCAGUGUCCUCCAGUCAGUUCUAUCCUAGGCCGCUUCUUUCAGAUUGCCUAUGUCCAUUCCGGUAUCACUCUUGAUGGUGUCAAGCCAGCGGGUUCUUGGUUGGCCUCUUCCUCUCUUGCCACUGACCAUUCCGAGCAUGAUGUCCUUCUCCAGGGAUUUUCUCCGCAUAAUAUGACCGAAAUAUCCCAAUCUAUGCUCGGUGAUCCUAGCCUCCAGCGACAUAUAUAUAUACUUUAUAUAUAUUACUCUACCCCUGGUAUUUGAGUACUCUUUUUUCCACCUUAUUUCACAUUUAUGUGUUUACUCCGGUAUAUAUAUAUAUAUAUAUAUAUAUAUAUAUAUAUAUGUAUGUAUGUAUGUAUGUAUGUAUAUAUAUAUAUAUAUAUAUAUAUAUAUAUAUAUUAUUAUGUAUGUAUGUAUGUAUUAUUAUAUAUAUAUAUAUAUAUAUAUAUAUAUAUAUAUUUCAAAAUAGAAAAUUACCCUUUAACAGGUAAUUUUUACAUGCUAGAAAUAGCAGCCAACACGGCCAAAAGUCACAGUUUUAUAGCAAAUUUCGAAGUAAAUGAAAAAUAAAAACUUUUACCUUGUUAUUUAACGAUUAAAUAACAAGGUAAAAUUUUUUGUUCUUCAUUUACUUCGAAAUUUGCUAUAAAUAUGUGGCUUUUGGCCGUGUUGGCUACUAUUUCUAGCAUGUAAAAAUUACCUGUUAAUGGGUAAUUUUCUAUUUUGAAAUAUAUGUAUAUAUAUAUAUAUAUAUAUAUAUAUAUAUAUAUAUAUAUAUAUACAUACAUACAUACAUACAUAUAUAUAUAUAUAUAUAUAUAUAUAUAUAUAUAUAUAUAUAUAUAUAUAUAUAUAUAUAUACAUACUCUCUUUUCUCUCUUUACUCUUUUACUUGUUUCAGUCAUUUGACUGCGGCCAUGCUGGACCACCGCCUUUAGUCGAGCAAAUCGACCCCAGGACUUAUUCUUUGUAAGCCCAGUACUUAUUCUAUCGGUCUCUUUUGCCGAACCGCUAAGUGACGAGGACGUAAACACACCAGCAUCGGUUGUCAAGCAAUGCUAGGGAGACAAACACACACACACACACACAUAUACAUAUUUAUAUAUACGACAGGCUUCUUUCAGUUUCCGUCUACCAAAUCCACUCACAAGGUUUUGGUCGGCCUGAGGCUAUAGUAGAAGACAUUUGCCCAAGGUGCCACGCAGUAGGACUGAACCCGGAACCAUGUGGUUGGUAAGCAAGCUACUUACCACACAGCCAGAUACAUAUACAUAUAUAAAGAUACAAAUACACACACACACACACAUGUGUUUGUGUGUAUGUAUGUUAAGUGAUAGGUGAUAUAAACAAUUUAGUUCAAUUUUUUAAAAAUACACUUUUCACUAUCCACCUUCACAACCAGAAAGGAAGAAGGAUAGAAAGAAGAACUGGCAUCGAUUUGUUCAACUAAUCUCUUCAAAGUGGUGCCCCAGCAUGGCCACAACUGCAUGAGUCAAACAAGGAAAGGAUACAAGAUAAAAAUAAACAAACAUACAUAAGGAUAUAGACAAAUAAAAAAAAACCCACCAACCGAAGUGUUUACAAAAGCGAUUUGAAGCCUGAGAAAUUGUUUGGCUGCACUUAUCGAAGAAGUUCUGAUAAGGUUUAUCAAGGGGAAAGAGAGAGAGAGACGUGUGUGUGUGUGUGUAUGUGUGUGUGUGUGUGUGUGUAUAUGUGUGCGUGUGCACGUGUGUGUCUGCACGUACGCUUGUCUCUCUUUAACUCUUUAUCUAUUACUGCGGCCAUGCUGGGGCACCGCCUUGCAGAAUUUUUUAUCCGAAUGAACCGAUUCUAGUUUUUGUUUUUAUCAUUUUUUAAAAGCCUAGGCGCAGGAGUGGCUGUGUGGUAAGUAGCUUGCUUACCAACCACAUGGUUCCGGGUUCAGUCCCACUGCGUGACACCUUGGGCAAGUGUCUUCUACUAUAGCCCCGGGCUGACCAAUGCCUUCUGAGUGGAUUUGGUAGACGGAAACUGAAAGAAGCCCGUCGUAUAUAUGUAUGUAUAUAUAUAUAUAUAUAUAUAUAUAUAUAUAUAUAUAUAUAUAUAUGCAUGCGUGUGUAUAUAUAUGUGUGGUAAGUAGCUUGCUUACCAACCACAUGAUUCUGGGUUCAAUCCCACUGCGUGGCAUCUUGGGAAAGUGUCUUCUACUAUAGCCUCGGGCCGACCACACCUUUGUGAGUGGAUUUAGUAGACGGAAACUGAAAGAAGCCCGUCGUAUAUAUGUAUAUAUAUAUAUAUAUAUAUAUAUAUAUAUAUAUAUAUAUAUAUAUAUAUAUAUAUAUAUAUGUGUAUGUAUUUGUGUGUCUGUGUUUGUCCCCCUAGCAUUGCUUGACAACCGAUGCUGGUGUGUUUACGUCCCCGUAACUUAGCGGUUCUGCAAAAAGGACUCCGAUAGAAUAAGUACUGGGCUUACAAAAGAAUAAGUCCUGGGAUCGAGUUGCUCGACUAAAGGCGGUGCUCCAGCAUGGCCGCAGUCAAAUGACUGAAACAAGUAAAAGAGACCGAUAGAAUAAGUACUGGGCUUACAAAGAAUAAGUCCCAGGGAUCGAUUUGCUCGACUAAAGGCGGUGCUCCAGCAUGGCCGCAGUCAAGUGACUGAAACAAGUAAAAGAGACUGCUACGUACUUACUCUGUCGGUUACCUUUUAGCCGAACAGCUAAGUUACUGGGGCGUAAACACACCAACGUCGGUUGUGAAAUUAUGUCGGUGGUGGUGGUGGUGGUGGUGGUGGUAUAUAUACGAGGGUCUUCUUUCAGUUUCCGUAUACCAAAUCCACUCGCAAGACUUUGGUCAGCCCGAGGCUACUUCUCGAAGGUGGCACGCAGUGGGAUCGAACUCGGAACCAUGUGGUUGGGAAGCAAGCGUCUUAUUACAAAACCCACAACUGCACCUAUGCGUGUAUCAGGAGCAUACGUAAAAGAGAUAAGGCCAGAAUGGAGCAACAUGCUGGUUAUUUUUGGGAAGCACUCCGUCGGUUACGACGACGAGGGUUCCGGUUGAUCCGAAUCAACGGAACAGCCUGCUCGUGAAAUUAACGUGUAAGUGGCUGAGCACUCCACAGACACGUGUACCUUUAACGUAGUUCUCGGGGAUAUUCAGCGUGACACAGAGAGUGACAAGGCCGGCCCCUUGAAAUACAGGUACAACAGAAACAGGAAGAAAGAGUGAGAGAAAGUUGUGGUGAAAGAGUACAGCAGGGAUCACCACCAUCCCUGCCGGAGCCUCCACAGACACGUGCACCCUUAACGUAGUUCUCGGGGAUAUUCAGCGUGACACAGAGAGUGACAAGGCCGGCCCCUUGAAAUACAGGUACAACGGAAACAGGAAGUAAGGGUGAGAGAAAGUUGUGGUGAAAGAGUACAGCAGGGAUCACCACCAUCCCUGCCGGAGCCUCCACAGACACGUGCACCCUUAACGUAGUUCUCGGGGAUAUUCAGCGUGACACAGAGAGUGACAAGGCCGGCCCCUUUGAAAUACAGGUACAACAGAAACAGGAAGUAAGAGUGAGAGAAAGUUGUGGUGAAAGAGUACAGCAGGGAUCACCACCAUCCCUGCCGGAGCCUCCACAGACACGUGCACCCUUAACGUAGUUCUCGGGGAUAUUCAGCGUGACACAGAGAGUGACAAGGCCGGCCCCUUGAAAUACAGGUACAACGGAAACAGGAAGUAAGGGUGAGAGAAAGUUGUGGUGAAAGAGUACAGCAGGGAUCACCACCAUCCCUGCCGGAGCCUCCACAGACACGUGCACCCUUAACGUAGUUCUCGGGGAUAUUCAGCGUGACACAGAGAGUGACAAGGCCGGCCCCUUUGAAAUACAGGUACAACAGAAACAGGAAGUAAGAGUGAGAGAAAGUUGUGGUGAAAGAGUACAGCAGGGAUCACCACCAUCCCCUGCCGGAGCCUCCACAGACACGUGCACCCUUAACGUAGUUCUCGGGGAUAUUCAGCGUGACACAGAGAGUGACAAGGCCGGCCCCUUUGAAAUACAGGUACAACAGAAACAGGAAGUAAGAGUGAGAGAAAGUUGUGGUGAAAGAGUACAGCAGGGAUCACCACCAUCCCUGCCGGAGCCUCCACAGACACGUGCACCCUUAACGUAGUUCUCGGGGAUAUUCAGCGUGACACAGAGAGUGACAAGGCCGGCCCCUUGAAAUACAGGUACCACAGAAACAGGAAGUAAGAGUGAGAGAAAGUUGUGGUGAAAGAGUACAGCAGGGAUCACCACCAUCCCCUGCCGGAGCCUCGUGGAGCUUUAGGUGUUUUCGCUCAAUAAACACUCACAACGCCCGGUCUGGGAAUCGAAACCGCGAUUCUAUGACCGCGAGUCCGCUGCCCUAACCACUGGGCCAUUGCGCCUCCACUUGCUGGUUAUAGUGACGAGCAAACCACAGCCACCAGCUUUUACCCUGGGUGGAGGAAGUUUUGACCAAGAGGAUGCCUUCAGGUUUCUUGACCAAGGACGGCAGAUCUGGAAAAGAAAUCUACCCAUUCAUUUUUACUUGUUUCGGUCAUUUUGACUGCGGCCAUGCUGGAGCACCGCCUUUAGUCGAGCAAAUCGAUCGACCCCAUGACCCCAUUGUUUGUAAGCUUAGUACUUAAUACUUAUUCAUGUUAGAGCACCGCCUUCAGUCGAACAAAUCGACUCCAGGACUUAUUCUUUGUAAGCCUAGUACUUAUUCUAUCGGUCUCUUUUGCCGAACCGCUAAGUUACAGGAACGUAAACACACUAGCAUCGGUCGUCAAGUGAUGGUGGGGGGACAAACACGGACACCCAAACUCAACACACACACACACACACACACACACACACACAUACACACACACACACACACACACAGACAGACACACAUAUAUAUAUAUAUUUCUUUACUACCCACAAGGGGCUACACACAAAGGGGACAAACAAGGACAGACAAAGGGAUUAAGUCGAUUACAUCGACCCCAGUGCGUAACUGGUACUUAAUUUAUCGACCCCGAAAGGAGGAAAGGCAAAGUCAGCCUCGGCGGAAUUUGAACUCAGAACAUAACAGCAGACGAAAUACCUAUUUAUUUACUACCCACAAGGGGCUAAACACAGAGGGGAAAAACAAGGACAGACAAAGGGAUUAAGUCGAUUACAUCGACCCCAGUGCGUAACUGGUACUUAAUUCAUCGACCCCGAAAGGAUGAAAGGCGAAGUCAACCUCGUCGGAAUUUGAACUCAGAACGUAACGGCAGACAAAAUACCCAUUUCUUUACUACCCACAAGGGGCUAAACACAAAGGGGACAAACAAGGACAGACAAAGGGAUUAAGUCGAUUACAUCGACCCCAGUGCGUAACUGGUACUUAAUUCAUCGACCCCGAAAGGCUGAAAGGCAAAGUCAACCUCGGCGGAAUUUGAACUCAGAACAUAACGGCAGACGAAAUACGGCUACGCAUUUCGCCCGGGGUGUUAACGUUUCUGCCAGCUGACGGGCUUCUUUCAGUUUCCAUCUACCAAAUACACUCACAAGGCAUUGGUCGGCCUGAGGCUUAUAGUAGAAGACACAUGCCCAGGGUGACACGCAGUGGGACUGAACCCGGAACCAUGUGGUUGGUUAGCAAGCCACUUACCACACAUUUCUCCGCAUAAUAUGACCGAAAUAUGCCAAUCUAUGCUUGGUGAUCCUAGCUUCUAGCGACAUAUAUCUCUUUUACUCUUUUACUCUUUUAUUUGUUUCAGUCAUUUGACGGUGGCCAUGCUGGAGCACCGCCUUUAGUCGAGCAAAUCGACACCGGGACUUAUUCUUUUGUAAGCCCAGUACUUAUUCUAUCGGAUCUCUUUUGCCGAACCGCUAAGUGACGGGGACGUAAACACACCAGCACCGGUUGUCAAGCAAUGCUAGGGGGACAAACACAGACACAGAAACACACACAUACAUAUACAUAUAUACGACGGGCUUCGUUCAGUUUCCGUCUGCCAAAUACACUCACAAGUCAUUGGUCGGCCUGCGGCUAUAGCAGAAGACACUUGCCCAAGGUGACACGCAGUGGGACUGAACCCGGAACCAUGUGGCUGGUUAGCAAGCCACUUACCACACAGCCACUCCUGAGCCUAAGACGUCACAAAAACUGUUACUCAGAGUUUCACGUUCCCGUUCGUCGAACAGUUUUUUUUUUUCAUAUUACGAACAACUAUCUGCAUUCGAACACACUUAUAAAAGCCAUGUUGUCAAGGUCACCACUUAGGAGAGAGAUUGCUCUGUUGUAUCACUUUAUUGAUAUCUCUAAAGAGAGACAGGGUGACGGGGUGCGGUUGCGGGACAACCCGACUGUUAGGGGUGUUAAUGAGGAUGAUGGUGGUGGAGGUGGUGGUGGUGGUGGUGGUGGUGGUAGUGGUGGUAGUGGUAGUGGUGGUGUGUUGGUGGUUGUGGUGGUGGUGGUGGUGGUAGUGGAUGGUGGUAGUGGUGGUGGUGGUGGUGGUGGUGGUGUGUUGCUGGUUGUGGUGGUGGUGGUGAUGGUGUGUUGGUGGUUUUUGUGGUAGUGGUGGUGGUGGUGGUAGUGGUGGUGGUAGUGGUGGUGGUGGUGGUGGUGGUGGUGGUGUUUAUUCUGUUGAGUCAAUAAGCGGUCUUUUGUCUCUAUUGUAUCGAUGGUAAGGUGUGCCGGUGGUGACAAUAGUAGCUGUUGUGGUGGUGGUUGGUGGUGGUGGUGGUGGUGAUUGGUGGUAGUGGGUGGUGGUGGUGGUGGUGGUGGUGGUGGUGGAAAGAGGGUCGUGUGUGUGUGACGGUGGUUUAGCAGUUGCAGAGAUAUGGCUCUUGAGGGAUGUCGGCGACCGAAUUGGCGGCGGUGAUGCAGGUAGUGUUGGUGGUGGUGGUGGUGGUAGUGGUGGUAGUGGUGGUGGUAGUGGAUGGUGGUAGUGGUAGUGGUGGUGGUGGUGGUGGUAAUAGUAGUAGUAGUGGUGGUGGUAGUGGUAGUGGUGGUAGUUGUUGUAGUGGUGGUAGUGGUGGUGGUGGUAGUGGUAGUGGUGGUAUUGGUGGUAGUGGUGGUAGCUGUGCUGCUGAUUGUGAUGGUGGUGGUGGAGGUGGUAGUGGUGGUGGUAGUGGUAGUGGUGGUAGUGGUGAUAGUGGUAGUGGUAGUGGUAGUGGUAGUGGUAGUGGUGGUAGCUGUGCUGUUGAUAGUGAUGGUGAUAGUGGUGUUGGCGGUGGUAGUGGUGGUGGUGCUGGUGGUGUGGUGUUGCACUUGACGAGCAAUGGUGGCUGUGGUUACGAUGGUGGUGGGGGGGGCUAGCUGCGUUAUUGGUGUGUGUAUUGCCGUUGGUGGUUGUUUCGAUGAUGAUGAUGAUGAUAAUGACGGUGGUGGUGGUGGUGGUGGUGAAUUACUUUUUCACCUAUUUUUGUUUUUGUUUUUUUUGUGUCUCCCAUUCUAAAACUGGUGGUCGGAUCGAUGUUGAAGGUGAUCCCCUCGGUGUGGUAUGAAGGAACCGACAAACAUACCACCCGCACCUCAACCCUCGAUAUCUCCCUCCAUAUCCCCAUCCAUGUCCCCACCUCAUACCCCACAAACCCUCGGUACUACUAGCGAACAGUGGUCCCGGUGCGCGCACUCGCGCUUCCGUGCUACCUAGUCGUAAUUAGUCGAUCCUAAAUAGUUUUUUAAACUAAGUAAAUAAAUUAUUUUUAUAAGCAAACUAAGGUUAGAGUUAAAAAAUUAGGUUUAGGGUUUAAAAAUUAGGUUUAGGGUUAGGGUUAGGGUUAAAAAAUUAGGUUUAGGGUUAGGGUUAAAAAAUUAGGUUUAGGGUUUAGGUUUAGGGUUUAAAAAUUAGGUUUAGGUUUAGGGUUAAAAAAUUAGGUUUAGGGUUAGGGUUAAAAAAUUAGGUUUAGGUUUAGGGUUAAAAUAUUAGGUUUAGGGUUAGGGUUAAAAAAUUAGGUUUAGGUUUAGGGUUAAAAUAUUAGGUUUAGGGUUAGGGUUAAAAAAUUAGGUUUAGGUUUAGGGUUAAAAUAUUAGGUUUAGGGUUAGGGUUAAAAAAUUAGGUUUAGGUUUAGGGUUAAAAUAUUAGGUUUAGGGUUAGGGUUAAAAAAUUAGGUUUAGGUUUAGGGUUAAAAUAUUAGGUUUAGGGUUAGGGUUAAAAAAUUAGGUUUAGGUUUAGGGUUAAAAUAUUAGGUUUAGGGUUAGGGUUAAAAAAUUAGGUUUAGGUUUAGGGUUAAAAUAUUAGGUUUAGGGUUAGGGUUAAAAAAUUAGGUUUAGGUUUAGGGUUAAAAUAUUAGGUUUAGGGUUAGGGUUAAAAAAUUAGGUUUAGGUUUAGGGUUAAAAUAUUAGGUUUAGGGUUAGGGUUAAAAAAUUAGGUUUAGGUUUAGGGUUAAAAUAUUAGUUUUAGGGUUAGGGUUAAAAAAUUAGGUUUAGGUUUAGGGUUAAAAUAUUAGGUUUAGGGUUAGGGUUAAAAAAUUAGGUUUAGGUUUAGGGUUAAAAUAUUAGGUUUAGGGUUAGGGUUAAAAAAUUAGGUUUAGGUUUAGGGUUAAAAAAUUAGGUUUAGGGUUAGGGUUAAAAAAUUAGGUUUAGGUUUAGGGUUAAAAUAUUAGGUUUAGGGUUAGGGUUAAAAAAUUAGGUUUAGGGCUAGGGUUAAAAAAAUUAGGUUUAGGGUUAGGGUUAAAAAGUUGCUGUAGGAUCGACUACUUACGACUAGCUAGCGCGGAUGCGCGAGUGCGAGUUUGCGCUCACCGGGAGCACUGUUCGCUAGCAGUAUCCAAACCCCUCCCCUACCUUUACUUGUCAACAAAGAGCGUAGAUGGACCGAGUCGGGUCGUCGUCACCUCCGCCGCCGUCCAAAGCGACGGCGGCGGAGGUUGACUUGCUGGUUGCCUGGCUGGUUGGCUGGUUGUCCCGACCUCUGUGACACGACCGUGUGUCUCUGAAAGCCAGUGACUCGUGUGUAUGUAUGUGUGUGUGUGUGUGUGUGUGUGUGUGUGUCUAUACAUGUGCUAUAUUUUCAUACUACAAGGAAAUAAACCAAGUAUAUACAGCUUUGACGUGAGCGUAUCUACCUGUGUGAAUAUAUAUACAUAGGUAGGUAGAUACAGGUAAAUUUAGUUGGUUGACACACAUAUUCGGAGUGAAUGCUGUCAUAACCUCGAAAUAAACGAUCGAUGCUACUGUUUGUAGUUACACAGUUCGUCGAUUGGCCCUGGACACCGCGAUACACCUGUAACGUUUGGAAACGUUUGUAAAAAAAUCCUUCGCGUAAACACCUGACAAGUUGUGUAUCUGAUUUGUGAAGAAAGGCGCGGAUCUAAAGAAUUGAAUGCAGGUAUAGUCGUUGUUUGUUUGUUUUUGUUAUACGUAUAUACAUAUAUAAACACAGAUAGAUGGAUAGAUAGAUAGAUAGAUAGAUAGAUAGAUAGAUAGAUAGAUAGAUAGAUAGAUAGAUAGACAGAUAGAUAGAUAGAUAGAUAGAUAGAUAGAUAGAUAGAGAUAGAUAGAUAAGUUUCUUUAUUGGCCACACAGGGCUGCACACAGAUGGGACAAGUUACAAGGUAGAGCUUUUCUUUUGGGGGAUGAAAAAAAGGGGGUAGCGUUAGAUAGAUAGAUAGAUAGAUAGAUAGAUAGACAGACAGACAGACAGACAGGUAGGUAGGUAGGUAGGUAGAUAGAUAGACAGGUAGGUAGGUAGGUAAGUAUGUAGGUAUAUAUGUUUCUUUAUUAGCCACACAGGGCUGCUGUAGGUAGGUAGGUAGGUAGAGGUAGAUAGAUAGACAGACAGACAGGUAGGUAGGUAGGUAGGUAGGUAGAUAGAUAGAUAGAUAGAUAGAUAGAUAGAUAGAUAGAUAGAUAGAUAGGCAGAUAAAUAGAUAGGUACGUAGGUAGAUAGAUAGAUAGAUAGAUAGAUAGAUAGAUAGAUAGAUAGAUAGAUAGAUAGAUAGAUAUACGUAUACAAAUGACAACAUAAGUGUUCUUAAAUGAAAGGUACGAGGUUUACCUGAAUUAUACAGACAUAUUUUUAUUUAUACAUACAUAUAUGUAAAUAUAAAAACACACACACGUGUGUGUCUGUGUGUAAAUAUGCAUGUGUACAUGUAUAUGCAUAUACAUACAUACAUAUAUAUAAUAAUAUGAAUUACAAAUAUAUGCAUAUAUACACACCUACAUAUGUAUAUAUGGGUACAGGACAUCAAAAAAAAAAACGUUGAACACAAUGAGAAACGAAAACAUAAAAACAAAAACAUGGAAUCGAACUUUUUUCAAACGAAAAAACAAACAAAUAGGGAAGCAAGACAUACGAUACAAGGAAUAUUCCGACACAAGGAAUAUUCCGACACAAGGAAUAUUCCGACACAAGGAAUAUUCCGACACAAGGAAUAUUCCCCUUCUCCAAACAGACUCACAAACACAUACAUACAUACAUUCAUAUAUACAUACAUACAUACAUACAUACAUACAUACAUACAUAUAUAUACACACAUAUAUAUAUAUAUAUGCGUGUAUAAAACAUAAGCAUGUGUUUCUACGUAUAAAUAUAUGUGUAUCAAUAUACACACGCACGCACGCACACUCAUGUAUACACACACACACACACACAUAUACAUAUACACAUACACACACACACACACACAUACAUAUAUAUAUAUAUAUAUAUUUAUUAUAUAGAAGGAGCUUCUUGAGUACCUUAUUUACUGUGGUUAACCCCGAAUCAACCCGGGACCUACAUAUAUAUAUAUAUAUAUAUAUAUAUAUAUAUAUAUAUAAAUAAAUAUAUAUACAUACAUACAUAUACAUACAUUUAUAUAUAUAUACAUACAUAUAUAUAUAUAUAUAUAUAUAUAUAUAUAUAUAUAUAUAUAUAUAUAUAUAUACCGUAUAUACAUACAUACAUAUAUAUACAUACAUUUAUAUAUACAUAUAUACGACAGGCUUCUUUCACUUUCCGUCUACUAAAUCCACUCAGAACAUUUCGGCUGGUCCGAGGCUACAGUAGAAGACACCUGCCGAAGGUGCCACGCAGUGGGACUGAACCCGGAACCAUAUGGUUGGUAAGCGAGCUUCUUACCAAACAGCUACAUCCACACAUCUACUCUAAUGUGCCCACUCCUCAUCAACUUUGUUUCCUCAUAACUUCCAGAAAAAUGGAUAUUUUCAAAUUGAAAUUUUCUGCAAAUGCGAUUUAGAGGAUAUAGAUUAGGAUUAUGUCAGAAGUUAAUAUAUAACGCAAAUUGUUGAGCACACACGUAUACAAACUGACACACAUCUGAUAUAUCUAGAAAAGGAAACUUCAACUGCCAAGGAUAAAGUGAUAUAGGCGCAGGAGUGGCUGUGUGGUAUGUAGCUUGCUUACCAACCACAUGGUUCCGGGUUCAGUCCCACUGCGUGGCAUCUUGGGCAAGUGUCUUCUGCUAUAGCCCUGGGCCGACCAAUACCUUGUGAGUGGAUUCGGUAGAUGGAAACUGAAAGAAGCCUGUCGUAUAUAUGUAUAAUAUAUAUGUACGUGUGUGUUUGUGUGUCUGUGUUUGUCCCCCUAGCAUUGCUUGACAACCGAUGCUGGUGUGUUUACGUCCCCGUCACUUAGCGGUUCGGCAAAAGAGAUCGAUAGAAUAAGUACUGGGCUUACAAAGAAUAAGUCCCGUGGUCGAUUUGCUCGACUAAAGGCGGUGCUCCAGCAUGGCCGCAGUCAAAUGACUGAAACAAGUAAAAGAGUAAAAGAGAGAAGUUCUGAAUAAAAAUCCUCCACCAAAUCUUAGUCACAAUUUAUGUUCCUAACACUAGCUGAAUGAUAAUUAAGUUAUUUUAGUAAAUUCUUUGUUAUAUUUAAAAUAACUGGAAGAAACACAAAGCAUCUCAAAAUAAAUAUGGUAACAAAAGGGUUAAGAAGAGAAAUAAUCAGCAGAAUACAUGAGAGAAGGAGACCUCAAUGUGGUCACUCUAUAUGCUAGAAAUAAUAGCCUAAAUUUCCUUCGAUCCACACCCUUCCAACUGCUUCUAAUGUCCAUCUGCCCAAAUGUAGAGGUGUUUUUAACCCUUUCGAUACCAAUCCGGCUGAAACUGCCUCUGGCUCUGUAGAACAAAUGUCUUGUUUUCAUAAAUUUUGAAUUAAAACCUUCCACCAAACCUUAGUCACAAUUUAUGCUCCUAACACUAUCUGAAUGAUAACUAAAUUAUUUUACUAAAUUCUUUGUUAUAUUUAAAGUAAUUGAAAGAAACACAGCAUCUCAAAAGAAAUAUGGUAACAAAAGGGUUAGAAUAUAAUAGAGAAACAAUUCUUAACCCUUUUCAUACCAAUCUGACUGAAACCACCUCUGGCUCUGUAGUACAAAUGUCUUGUUUUCAAAAGUUCUGAAUUAAAAUCUUCCACCAAACCUUAGUCAUAAUUUAUGUUCCUAACACUAGCUGAAUGAUAACUAAGUUAUUUUACUAAAAUUCUUUGUUAUAUUUAAAAUUGAUUGAAAGAAACACAGAGCAUCUCAAAAUAAAUGCAGUAACGAAAGAUUCCAGUAUAAUCGUAAUGUGCUUCACCUGAAAGGUAUUUUUACAAAAUUUCAUUACAAAAGUAUUCAUUUUUCUGAAAGUUAUGAGGAAAAAAAGUUAUGGUUCUGGGUUCAGUCCCACUUCAUGACACCUUGGGCAAGUGUCUUCUACUACAGCCUCAGGAUGACCAAAUCCUUACGAAUUAAUUUGAUAAGUUAUGGGGAUGUAAACAAAACAACACAGACACAAAGAGACACCUUCUCAACCACAUGGUUCCGGGUUCAGUCCCACUGCGUGACACCUUGGGCAAGUGUCUUCUACUAUAGCCUCGGGCCGACCAAAGCCUUGUGAGUGGAUUUAGCAGACGGAAACUGAAAGAAGCCCGUCGUAUAUAUACAUGUAUGUGUAAGUGUGUGUGUGUGUGUGUGUGUGUGUGUGUGCAUGCAUAUGUGUGUGUUUAUGUAUCAGUGUUUGUUCCCCACCACCAUCGCUUAACAACCAACGUUGGUGUGUUUAUGACCCCGUGACUUUGCAGUUCAGCAAAAGAGACCGAUAGAAUAAGUCCUAGGCUUACAAAGAAUAAGUCCUGGGCUCGAUUUGUUCGACGAAAAGGUGGUGCUCCAGCAUGGCCACGGUCAAAUUACUGUAAAAAAUAAAAGAACACCAUUUCUCCAAAACCUGAACUGGAUAAAGUUUCCAGAAAAAUCCUUUUUGUUUCCUAAUGAGGAUAUUAAUUAAUUUUAUUGCAUUUGUUUUACACUUUUUAUAUUUUUAUGAUUGUUUUUUCCAAAGAAACAGAUCCAAUAAACCUUUUAAAUUCAAAGAAUCAAUGAUUUUUCUUCUCUUCAAAUCAAGAGGGUGGCAUCAUCGUCAUCAGCACCACCACCACCGCCUUCAUCAUUAUCAUCACCAUCAUCAUCAUCAUCAUCACUAUCAUCACCAUCAUUGCCAUCAUCAUCACCAUCAUCAUUGUCAUUACCACCACCACUACCACCAUCAUCAUCAUCAUCAUCAUCAUUGCCAUCAUCACCAUCAUCAUCGCUGUCAUCAUCAUCAUCAUCAUCACCAUCAUUGCUAUCAUCAUCACCACCACUAUCAUCAUCAUCAUCAUCAUCAUCAUCAUCAUCACUAUCAUCACCAUCAUUGUCAUCACCACCACCACUACCACCAUCAUCAUCAUCAUCAUCAUCAUCAUCAUCAUCAACAUCAUCAUCAUCAUCAUCAUCAUCGCUAUCAUCACCAUCAUCAUCACCAUCAUCAUCACCAUCAUCAUCAUCAUAAUCAUCAUCACCAUCAUCAUCAUCAUAAUCAUCAUCAUCAUCACUAUCCUCACCAUCAUUGCCAUCACCAUCAUCAUCGUCAUCAUGAUUGCUAUCCUCACCAUCAUUGCCACCAUCAUCACCACCAUAAUCACCAUCACCAUCAUCAUCACCAUCAUCGUCAGCCUCACCAUCAUCAUCAUCAUCAUCGUUGUCAUCUAACGUCCUCCUUCCAUGCUGGCAUGGGUUGGAUUGUUUGACAGGAGCUGGCCAGGUAGGAGCCUGCGCCAUGCUUCUGUUUCGGUUUAGGCAUGGUUUUUACAGCUGGAUACCCUUCUUAACAGUGACCACCCCACAGACUGGACUAUGUGCUUUUUACAUAACAUCAGCACAGGUGAGGUCAGUUUUGGCAGGGUUUUUACAGAUGGAUGCCCUUCCAAAUGGCACCCACAUUACAGCAUGGGCCUCACGGAGGCACUGAUAGGUGGUAGGGGCCUUUGGCAAUAUACCGUGCCCGUGUAGACCUGACAAGCCAAAUGAGAUCAUAGUCAUGGCCAAUGCUGGUGUCAGUCAAUGGCACCCAUGCCAGUGGCACGUAAAAAGCGCCCACUACACUCUUGGAGUGGCUGGCAUUAGGAAGGGCAACCAAGUGUAGAAACCACGCCAAAUCAGAUCAGAACCUGGAGCAGCUCCUCGACUUACCAGUUCUCGAUCAAACCGUCCAACCCAUGCCAGCACGGAAAGCGGACGUGAAAUGAUGAUGGUGAUGGUAAUCGGUUAAAAAGGCGGCGAGCUGGCAGAAACGUUAGCAUACCGGGUGAAAUGCUUAGCGGUAUUUCGUCUGCGUUACGUUGUGAGUUCAAAUUCCACCAAGGUCGACUUUGCCUGUCAUCCUUUCAGGGUCGAUAAAUUAAGUACCAGUUAUGCACUGGGGUUGAUGUAAUCGACUUAAUACCUAUGUCUGUCCUUGUUUGUCCCCUCAGUGUUUAGCCCCUUGUGGGUAGUAAAGCUUAUAGGUAUUUCGUCUGCGUUACGUUCUGAGUUCAAAUUCCACCGAGGUCGACUUUGCCUUUCAUCCUUUCGGGGUCAAUAAAUUAAGUACCAGUUACGCACUGGAGUCGACGUAAUCGACUUAAUACCUAUGUCUGUCCUUGUUUGUCCCCUCUGUGUUUAGCCCCUUGUGGGUUGUAAAGAAAUAGGUAUUUCGUCUGUCUUUACGUUCUGAGUUCAAAUUCCGCCGAGGUCGACUUUGCCUUUCAUCCUUUCGGUGUCGAUAAAUUAAGUACCAGUUACGCACUGGAGUCGACGUAAUCGACUUAAUACCUAUGUCUGUCCUUGUUUGUCCCCUCUGUGUUUAGCCCCUUGUGGGUAAUAAAGAAAUAGGUAAUUGGUUAAAAAUGUCCCCCAAACCCUGGCCUAAACCAUGCAAGAAUGAAACAAAAGAAAGAAACAAUUAGCAAAUGAAUACCUAACAUUUAUAUUACAUGUUGAAUCGUUUAUUAAUUACUUGUAUAGUAGCUCUGACUUAAUUGCUCUGAAUUAAUUACUCCUCAUUAUCAAUCCGCGCAUUGUUAUGCAAAUCAGACAAACCUGUUUAGGAGAGUCUGCCUGUUGUUCUUUUCACUUUGUGUCUGGUGACAUGUAAAGCUUCCAAACUCUCUCUCUGCUUCUCUCUGUCUUUCCUCAUCUUUUGUUCUUUCUCUCUUUCUCUCUCUCUCCCCCCCCACUCUCUCUCUCUCUCUCUCUCUUUCUCUCCCUCCAUGCUCGGAAUGAGACAAUUUGGCACAGCUGUUUUAGAUGCAGACGAUGAGACAAGCUGAUAGACCUGUUUGAGCAGGCAACAGUGCAUUCUUUGGUGGUGGAACACACUCACACGCACCAGGCUUGCAGAAAUAUGCAUUUACAGAUAGAAAGUGUGUGUUUGAGAGAGAAAGGGAGAGAGAGACAUGAAUUAUUAAUUGAACAUAAUUGACAUAAAUACUUUCUCUCUCCUCACACUCAUGAAGAGAAACAUGCUCACAGAGAGAGAGAGAGAGAGAGAGAGAGAGAGAGAGAGAGAGAUAGAUAUAGAAGGAAAGAGGCACAGAGAGAGAGAGGGAGAGACAGAGAGGGAAGGAGAGAGAGAGAGGGAGUCAGACAGACAAAGACAGUGAGGGAGUCAGAGGGAGAGAAAUGGAAGGAGAGAGAGAGGAGUCAGACAGAGAGAGAGAGAGGAGUCAGACAGAGAGAGAGAGAGGAGUCAGACAGAGAGAGAGAGAGGAGUCAGACAGAGAGAGAGAGAGAGAGGGAGAGUCAGAGAGGGAGUCAGACAGACAAAGAGACCGAUAGAAUAAGUACUGGGCUUACAAAAGAAUAAGUCCCGGGGUCGAUUUGCUCGAUUAAAGGCGGUGCUCCAGCAUGGCCGCAGUCAAAAUGACUGAAACAAGUAAAAGAGUAAAGAGAGAACACUUGGGAUCGAUGUACCUAACUUACCCCACCUUGCUGGUCUUGUGCCAAAAUUUGACACCAAUUUUUUAGUGUUGCUAUAUUCAUUGUAAAGUAAAUAUGUUUUUUUUGUUUCUGUUCUAGGUCUUCUUCAUGGCUACGGAACUCUGAUGGCACUGGUCCACAUUGGAUAAAGUAAAAUAUAAUACUUUUUAUGCAAGUUCACACACACACACACACAUACACACACACACGCGCAUAUGUAUGUAAAUCUCAUGCUCACAUAUGUGCAUAUACACAAAC